AGGACGAACGCUGGCGGCGUGCUUAACACAUGCAAGUCGAGCGGAAAGGCCCUUCGGGGUACUCGAGCGGCGAACGGGUGAGUAACACGUGAGCAACCUGCCCUUGGCUCUGGGAUAGCCUCCGGAAACGGGGAUUAAUACCGGACAUUCACUGAUCCCUGCAUGGGGGGUGGUGGAAAGUUUUUCGGCCAGGGAGGGGCUCGCGGCCUAUCAGCUUGUUGGCGGGGUAACGGCCCACCAAGGCGACGACGGGUAG
rnacentral:rRNA from 1 species